rnacentral:rRNA from 1 species
GAUGAACGCUGGCGGCGUGCCUAAUACAUGCAAGUCGAACGAGGUGCCUUUGUAGCAAUACGAGGGUAUCCUAGUGGCGAACGGGUGAGUAACGCGUUGGUGACCUGCCCCAAAGUGCGGGAUAACAGUCCGAAAGGAUUGCUAAUACCGCAUGUGGUCUUCGGUUCUAGAAGCCGAUCUCUAAAGGAGCAAUCCGCUUUGGGAGGGACCUGCGUCCCAUCAGCUAGUUGGUGAGGUAACGGCCCACCAAGGCUACGACGGGUAGGGGACCUGAGAGGGUGACCCCCCACAAUGGAACUGAAACACGGUCCAUACACCUACGGGUGGCAGCAGUAGGGAAUAUUGCACAAUGGGCGAAAGCCUGAUGCAGCAACGCCGCGUGUGCGAAGAAGGCCUUCGGGUCGUAAAGCACUUUUCUGAGAGAUGAGCAAGGGCAGUAUCUCAGGAAUAAGUCUCGGCUAACUACGUGCCAGCAGCCGCGGUAAAAC